rnacentral:rRNA from 1 species
AUUGAACGCUGGCGGCAUGCCUUACACAUGCAAGUCGAACGGUAACAGGUCUUCGGAUGCUGACGAGUGGCGAACGGGUGAGUAAUACAUCGGAACGUGCCCGAGAGUGGGGGAUAACGAGGCGAAAGCUUUGCUAAUACCGCAUACGAUCUCAGGAUGAAAGCAGGGGACCGCAAGGCCUUGCGCUCACGGAGCGGCCGAUGGCAGAUUAGGUAGUUGGUGGGAUAAAAGCUUACCAAGCCGACGAUCCGUAGCUGGUCUGAGAGGACGACCAGCCACACUGGGACUGAGACACGGCCCAGACUCCUACGGGAGGCAGCAGUGGGGAAUUUUGGACAAUGGGCGCAAGCCUGAUCCAGCCAUGCCGCGUGCAGGAUGAAGGCCUUCGGGUUGUAAACUGCUUUUGUACGGAACGAAAAGACUCUGGUUAAUACCUGGGGUCCAUGACGGUACCGUAAGAAUAAGCACCGGCUAACUACGUGCCAGCCGCCGCGGUAAUAC